UCUCCCGUAAGGGAGCAGUCUUGCCUGACAUAUAAAACAGACAACGGGGGUUGCGUUCGUUUCCCCACUUAAGGGAACAGCUCAAGCCACGAACUGACGACGACCAUGCAUCACCUGCCAUACACCCUCGAAGGCUCUCGGCGUUUCUGCCGAAAUGCAGUAUGGUUUCAAGCCCUGGUAAGGUUCUUCGCUUACCGACGAAUUAAGCCACAUGAUCCACCGCUUGUGCGAAUUCCCGUCUAUUCCUUUGAGUUUUAGUCUUGCGACCGUACUACCCAGGCGGUUCUCUUAACGCGUUAGCUACGCCACGAAGAGGGUCGAUACUCCUCAUAGCUAGAGAACAUGGUUUAGGGCGUGGACUA
rnacentral:misc_RNA from 1 species